rnacentral:rRNA from 1 species
CCUACGGGGGGCUGCAGUGAGGAAUAUUGGUCAAUGGCCGGAAGGCUGAACCAGCCAAGCCGCGUGAAGGACGAAGGUGCCAAGCAUUGUAAACUUCUUUUGUCAAGGGACAAAAUCAGGCUCGAGCGCCUGACCGAGGGUACUUGAAGAACAAGCAUCGGCUAACUCCGUGCCAGCAGCCGCGGUAAUACGAAGGAUGCGAGCGUUAUCCGGAUUUAUUGGGUUUAAAGGGUGCGUAGGCGGACUGUUAAGUCAGCGGUAAAAGCCCGGGGCUAAACCCCGGCGAGCCGUUGAAACUGGCUAUCUUGAGAGGUCGAGAGGUAGGCGGAAUGCGCAGUGUAGCGGUGAAAUGCGUAGAUAUUGCGCAGAACACCGAUGGCGAAGGCAGCAUACCGGCGGCGAUCUGACGCUGAGGCACGAAAGCGUGGGGAUCGAACAGGAUUAGAUACCCCUGUAGUC